rnacentral:lncRNA from 1 species
AGUUUUAUUUAUGGCUAAAUAAGAGUGCACUGUCACUAACACAACUACUAUUUCUCUUGGUCUUAGUGGCAUUUAUUUUCAACUGGAUUGGAUUUUGUUUAUCCUUCUGUAUAACUAACACCAUAGCAGGAAGGUAUGGUGCAAUCUGUGGAUUUGGCCUAUCGCUGAUCAAAUGGAUUCUCAUUGUACGGUUCUCAGACUACUUUACUGGAUAUUUCAAUGGACAGUACUGGCUUUGGUGGAUAUUUCUUGUACUUGGUCUCCUCCUGUUCUUCCGAGGGUUUGUCAAUUACCUUAAAGUCAGAAACAUGUCUGAAAGCAUGGCAGCUGCUCAUAGAACAAGAUUUUUCUUCUUGUAUUAGAGAUUGGCUGCAGGAUCAGUAUGAAGUAACCAGCAACACAGUAUUGGAAGUCUGGGGGAAUAAAAACUGAGACACUUAGUCUAGAAAUGAUGGGUCUUUUAUUUAAGAUGGUGAC